rnacentral:tRNA from 1 species
GGGCCCGUAGUCUAGUAGUAGGACUCGUCCUUCGCAAGGACGUAGCGCGGGUGCGAUUCCCGCCGGGUCCA